AGGAAAAACAGACAAACAAAAGAGUGUGUGGGUUCUAUUUCAGGGACAAAAGAUUUUCAAGCACUACAGCCCAGCUCAUAAGGAUGCAAAUGUCAAAGACAGAGAACACGGCCACACUGUCCAUCUCUGGGAACGAACAGAAUCCAGCCAAACAAGAUAUCUUGCCCUCCACUCUGCACCUAACUGUAUAAGCUCUCCAUUGGCAGAGGAAUAAUCUGAAGAGGAGAUAGUCUUGUCCAUCUUGUGGAUCAGCCCUAAUGCCACAUGCAGUGAACAACACAGGAACAUGAUGGAGCAGCAAGCCCCAACAGGAGCCAUCAAUAGAACAGCUACCAGAUCUAUCCAAUCACAUGUUCUUGCCAGGACUGUGACACAUGACAAAGUGGCACAGGGGCAUCGAGACGACCUACAUCGCUAACGGCUCAGCACAAAUGUUACGUGGGGACAGCACUAGUGAAAGUGUCCUAAGUGAACAGUGACCCAUUACCAUUUGAUUUUUGGAUCUUUUACAUCCUCUAAUCUUGCUUCUCACUAUCCAUUUAGAUCAGUGGUGUGCCCAGUAUUCUUUUCAAUAAUUUGUUUUUAACCUACUCGUUCAUUUUGCCUUGUAUUAUUUGCAACCAAAAGCUUAACUGAUACAAUUUUUAUCUUUCCCCUUCUUCUUCUCUUCUCUCUACCACACUUCAUUUCUCCUACUCCCCAC